rnacentral:lncRNA from 1 species
GUUUGUCGGAGAACAGGUUAAAAUGGUGAGUUUAAGCAGGAGUUGUGGUCAGAAUUAGACCAGCAUGGAGAGACUAGUACUUCCCCAGCCUUCAUUUGGAAGCCUGUCUCAAGAACCGUUACAAAAUCUGGGCCUUCAAAUACAUUUAAAAUCAUUUUAAUGUAGCAUGUAGGUAAGCAUAUUGAGUGACCCCAAAUCAAUCUAACAGUGAUGGUCUGCCACACUCCCAAAGCCCAGUUUUAAGCCACAUUUAUAAGGAUAAUUAUAAGGUUUGGUAACUAAAUUGGACAUUUUGUCGUCUUUAACUCUUGAUAUGAAGAUACCCCCACUUUGGGACCACAAAGUGACCAUGUAGUCACUUUGGGGAAAGAAACCACUGCUUUUUUCAUGGCAAAAAUUUAAAUCCUAGUGAACUGAGAAAUUUUUUUUAAUGAUUUAUAUUAUACCUCUGAAAAGGCAAAAUUAUGCAGAACUAGGUUGCCCUAAAGACAAACAAACCAGCAAAUCUCCUAUCUUGAGAGUUAAAACAUCUUUUUCAGUUAUAAUUCCAAUUUUUAAAACUCUCAGUGCUUUGUCUAAUUACAUGCCUUAACUUGUCAUAAGAGAUGCACCAACUGAAUCACUACCAUUUGACUGGAUGGAAGUGAAGUUUUUCCUCCAAAUAUAUUGAAACAAGGUCAUGAAACAUGUUUAGACUUUCUUCAUUACUGGAGACAGUGCAGUAUAGAGGUUGGCAUCACCCUGAUAACCCAAAAUUAGCACUCAAACAUAUAGUACUUGGAGGAAAAAGACCCACUGAAAUCUGCGAAAUUGCUUUUGAUAGCAGAUGAGCUUAUCAUUUUUGUAUCUGUCAUGUUUCAUAAAGGA